UACGUAGGGUGCAAGCGUUGAUCGGAAUUACUGGGCGUAAAGCGUGCGCAGGCGGUGAUGUAAGACAGAUGUGAAAUCCCCGGGCUCAACCUGGGAACUGCAUUUGUGACUGCAUCGCUAGAGUACGGCAGAGGGGGAUGGAAUUCCGCGUGUAGCAGUGAAAUGCGUAGAUAUGCGGAGGAACACCGAUGGCGAAGGCAAUCCCCUGGGCCUGUACUGACGCUCAUGCACGAAAGCGUGGGGAGCAAACAGG
rnacentral:rRNA from 1 species